rnacentral:snoRNA from 1 species
CGAGCUAUUGAUGAUAUUUUAUCCACAGUUCCCGCGACUUUCUGUGAGCGAUUGAACAACAUGCACUACCAUCUGAAGCUCU